UCCCCAUUCCCUUGACCCCGCAGUGACCCAUGGCUUGGCUGAAGCCGGCAGGGACCGCGAGGACGUCAGCACCGAGCUGUACCGGGCGCUGGAGGCCGUGAGGCUGCAGAACAGUGAGGGUUCCUGUGAGCCGUGCCCUACGUCGUGGCUGCCCUUCGGGGGCUCCUGCUACUAUUUCUCUGUGCCGAAGACCACGUGGGCAGAGGCGCAGGGCCACUGCGCCGAUGCCAGCGCACAUCUGGCGAUGUAGGGGGCCUGGGGGAGCAGGACUUCCUGAGUCGUGACACUAGUGCCCGUGAAUACUGGAUCGGCCGCAGGGCCGUGCAACACCUGCGCAAGGUUCAGGGCUACUCGUGGGUGGACUGAGUCCCACUCAGCUUCAGGAAGAUUCACUUCCAGAGCCUUGAGACAACAUGUAAAAAGUUCAACUACCCUGAGACUGCAGUGAUGGAGAUGUCAUGUGGAGAGACCACAUGGAAAGUCCCUGAAGCUACAGGAGGAGAGCGAGAGAGAGAGAGAAAGAGAUCGAUCCCCCAAGAGACUUCAAUCAUUUGAGUCAUCCCAGCCCAGGAACCAGACAUGUGAAUGAAGAAGCUACCAGAUAAUCCCAGCCACCAGAUACCAGCUCCCAGCCACUGGAGGCACUCCCCCACUCUUCAAGUCUCCCCACCUUAAGCCCUAGAUGUCAUGGAUCAGAGACAAACCAUCCCCACUAUGCCCUGUCCAAACUUCAGACCCACAAAAACCAUGAGCAUAUUAAAAAUGAUUGCUGUUUUAUGCCACUGAGUUCUCGGAUGGUUUCUUACACAGCAAUCGAAAACUGGAACACGGCUGGGUGCAGUGGCUCAUGACUGUAAUCCCGGCACUUUGGGAGGCUGAGACAGGUGGAUCACCUGAGGUCAGGAGUUCAAGACCAGCCUGGCCAACAUGGUGAAACCCCAUCUCUACUAAAAAAAAUACAAAAAAUUAGCCAGGCGUGGUGGCGUGAGCCUGUAAUCCCAGCUACUUGGGAGGCUGAGGCAGCAGAAUUGCUUGAACCCGGGAGGCAGAGAUGGCAUUGAGCCAAGACCACACCAUUGCACUCUAGCCUGG
rnacentral:lncRNA from 10 species